rnacentral:tRNA from 1 species
GGGCUCGUAGCUCAGCGGUAGAGCAGCCCCCUCAUAAGGGGUUGGUCGUAGGUUCGAUCCCUGCCGAGCCCACCA